rnacentral:piRNA from 1 species
UCUCAUUACUGAUGUAAAGGCACUUGUC